rnacentral:rRNA from 1 species
GACGAACGCUGGCGGCGUGCUUAACACAUGCAAGUCGAACGGAAAGGCCCUGCUUUUGUGGGGUGCUCGAGUGGCGAACGGGUGAGUAACACGUGAGUAACCUGCCCUUGACUUUGGGAUAACUUCAGGAAACUGGGGCUAAUACCGGAUAGGAGCUCCUGCUGCAUGGUGGGGGUUGGAAAGUUUCGGCGGUUGGGGAUGGACUCGCGGCUUAUCAGCUUGUUGGUGGGGUAGUGGCUUACCAAGGCUUUGACGGGUAGCCGGCCUGAGAGGGUGACCGGCCACAAUGGGACUGAGAUACGGCCCAGACUCCUACGGGAGGCAGCAGGGGGGAAUAUUGCACAAUGGGCGGAAGCCUGAGGCAGCAACGCCGCGUGCGGGAUGACGGCCUUCGGGUUGUAAACCGCUUUCGCCUGUGACGAAGCGUGAGUGACGGUAAUGGGUAAAGAAGCACCGGCUAACUACGUG